GAGCAUGUGCAAGACUCCUUACUAAACGAAGGAGGGCAGAGGAGUGCCGUUUUGGAAAUAUCAAGGGGAAUGAAAAGAGAAAGAGAAUUGACGGGAGAGAGAGGAAUCUGCCCACACUCAGGGGAUCAUCCAGAAUUCACAGAUGAACAGGGUGCACUCAAGGAAGACUGCCCCUCCAUCAGAGCACCACCCCUCAGUGACUGCUGACGUGUAAGACACUUCCAGCAUCUUUUUACCAGGCCCCACCCUUGGGGAUGCCCAGACCAAGAUAUCACUCUUUGCACUAAGUGACUCCUGAGAUACCAGCCCUUUACCUGACUUACAUUCUGUCAUCCUGCAUCAGAAUUGUUUCGAAUUUUUAGAGGUAUUGUGUUAUAAUGGUGUUCAAUGAAGUUGGAAGAAUUCUGGCUCUGCUGCUUAGAAACUGAAUGCAAGUUCCCUGACCACAGAGGUUGGGUCUUUUAAAGAACCUACUGUGUGCUGAGCGCUGUUGUAAGCACUGAGAAAUAAAGAACAAGAGAGGCGAAGUCCCUGAUGUCUCGGAGUUUAUGGUCUUAUGCGGUUCCUAAAAAUGAAGGUUAAAAGAAACUUGAACUGGAUUCCAUUUUAUCACACGCCUGGAAUGCUGAAAAUGCUGUGGCAAAGUCAUCCAUUCAUUCAUCUAAGUGAAAAGCCUAUAAAAUCAUAGGCAUCUUCAGCCAUAUCCUUAAAUUUCACCAUUUUACGUUUCACCAAAGUUAUAUUGGCAUUAUCUUUUGUGCUGGAAACAAAGUUAAUUGUCUUCUGCAGGAUACUUAAAAUAAAAU
rnacentral:lncRNA from 1 species